GCGAAAAGAGUUGGAAUUUGUCAUGUAAUUGCUGCUAUAAUUAUUGUUUCUUUGUGUAUUACUGUUUUUUCCUGUUAUGCAUGUUUUGAUCUCAUGUUGGAUUGAUAAGGAGUUGUGAUUGUCAAUUAACCAUCUUCUAUUGCAUUUAUUUCUAAAUGAAUUUCCUUUUCGUUUGUUACUGACUGAUUGGUUAUUACUAAAAAAAAAAGAAAAAAAAAGAAGAGAACAAAGUCAGUAUUAGGCAGACUUCCCAUUAACGACAAUCCUCCCACCAUCAUCAGUCAGAACCACUACUGAUAAGUUUCUCUCUUCAUUUUUCAGUUUGUUCAUUAAAUAUGAUCAUAAUUUGAUAUUUUAUUUGGAGUGGUUUCAAUUUAGGUCAUUUCAGUUUAUGCAUUAAAUUUGAUCAAGUGUUUUUAUAUUUGUUUGGAUUGGUUUCAGUUUAGGUCUUUGUGUCUCUUUUGCCAAUGGUUGCCAUAUUUUAAAAGAAGAAAAGGAAGAAAAAAGCCUUCAGUUGAGAUAAUGAACCCGUUAAGAAUUUUUCAAUCACAUAGAGAGCAGAGUAUUUUUGAUCUUUUCAAUUUCUUUUACGCUUCUUGAAUGAGCAUUCCUGGCCAAGAGUUUCCAAUCGUUCCAUUCAGCAUUUAUUUAUUUAACUCUCUCUUGGAUUCAAUUGUGAAUUUCAUUUGUCAUUGAUUGAUUUCUAUUCCAAAUCUGUGUAAUAAAAAAUUAAAGGGUUUUUCUUUAACUUUUCUUUUCUAGGUUUGUAGGUGAAAAGGCAAAUCCUUGGAAGCAAUCUGAGUAAAAACAGUACUACCAAGAUUGAAACAGUUCAGGGCCGGCUGUUAUGUGAUUAAUUUUACAAUCUGCAUACUAUGCUAUCAACCACAUCUAUGCUGCUGGAUGCCACUUCUCUCUGUACAACAAUCUGUCACUAAACAGGUAACUAUCGAUUGUCAUUCACAUGGGCAACAAAGCUCUACAUCAACUUUGACAUUGACAUUCCAAAAGA